CCUACGGGAGGCAGCAGUGGGGAAUCUUGCGCAAUGGACGAAAGUCUGACGCAGCCAUGCCGCGUGAAUGAUGAAGGUCUUAGGAUUGUAAAGUUCUUUAGCCUGUGACGAUGAUGACGGUAACAGGAGAAUAAGCCCCGGCUAACUUCGUGCCAGCAGCCGCGGUAAUACGAAGGGGGCUAGCGUUGUUCGGAAUUACUGGGCGUAAAGCGCGCGUAGGCGGUUAUGCAAGCCAGAGGUGAAAUGCCUGAGCUCAACUUAGGAAUUGCCUUUGGAACUGCAUGGCUUUGAGGACGAGAGAGGUGAGUGGAAUUCCCAGUGUAGAGGUGAAAUUCGUAGAUAUUGGGAAGAACACCGGUGGCGAAGGCGGCUCACUGGCUCGUUUCUGACGCUGUAGCGCGAAAGCGUGGGGAUCAAACAGGAUUAGAUACCCUGGUAGUCCACGCUGUAAACGAUGAGUGCUAGGCGUUGGCACGCUUGCGUGUCAGUGCGCNGCACGCGUGAGCACNCCGCCGUCGGGAGGUACGGUCGCGAGAGUAAACGUACGAAAGAAGUAGACGCGUGAGACGUAGCCGACGGACGACGACGAGGGGAGGAGG
rnacentral:rRNA from 1 species